rnacentral:rRNA from 1 species
AUUGAACGCUGGCGGCAUGCCUUACACAUGCAAGUCGAACGGCAGCACGGGGGCAACCCUGGUGGCGAGUGGCGAACGGGUGAGUAAUACAUCGGAACGUGCCCUGUAGUGGGGGAUAGCUCGGCGAAAGCCGGAUUAAUACCGCAUACGACCUACGGGUGAAAGCGGGGGAUCGCAAGACCUCGCGCUACAGGAGCGGCCGAUGUCAGAUUAGGUUGUUGGUGGGGUAAAGGCCUACCAAGCCGACGAUCUGUAGCUGGUCUGAGAGGACGACCAGCCACACUGGGACUGAGACACGGCCCAGACUCCUACGGGAGGCAGCAGUGGGGAAUUUUGGACAAUGGGCGCAAGCCUGAUCCAGCCAUGCCGCGUGCGGG